rnacentral:lncRNA from 1 species
CCCAUGUUUACAAAAGGAAUGUCCAGUAUUUUUGGUGUCUUUCGGUGAUACUUUUACACAUUAGAACAACUGAAUAAAAUCUCCUUUCAAUUAACUAUCGAUAUAUCUAUUAUUUUACGUAAGACUGAGUCCCAAUGUUAUUGCAAUUCGGUAGCAAAGAUGUUGACAUCACAUGUCGUCUGAUGAUGAGUUUUACAGGAUCGAAUAAGGUUUGGUCAUUGUAUUCCCUGAAAGGAACAAGAGGAGAAAAGAAACUGGAAGACCUGCAUGCCUAUCCGCAGCCCAAUGCUGGCUGCAGGUCAAUAUCGAAUGCUUUUAUGAAAACUCAUAAGACAAUAACAAAAAAAAGAAGCUGAGGAUGCUGUUUUUGAAACAUGUUCCAUUCAAAAAUGGUGGAUUGAAAUUUAAGAAAGGUGUGACGGGUGCGGCUACUGCAGGCAGGGAGGAUUUGACGGUCAGCCAGAGGAUUUGGAGAUAUACUGUAAUGUCUUUAAUGUGGACUUGCGUGUGAUUUAAGUUUUCACAAGGGUUUUAGUGUGUGUGAUAGUAUGUCAGUUUUCAAAAUUGAGCUAUGACAAUUUGCUCAAACUACAUAACUCAAAGAACUUUGAAGCGGUCUUGUAGACGUCAUGAGCUUUUGUUUUAUACCAUUAUUGGUGAUAUAGGCCCAUGAUUAUAUACUGUAGAAAGUGAACAAGUUCACUGCUCGAUACAGAUAAUCAUAUGGCCUGAUCUCUGAAUGAUAUUUAUGAACCAAAAGAAGGCAUAAAAUAAAAACAUACUGUAGUGAUUUAAAUUAUUGAUAUUGUUAAACUAGAUCUGGGCCUGUAUUCAUAAAGGAUCUUAGUAAA